rnacentral:rRNA from 1 species
CGGGACGGGGUGGAGUAAUGUCUGGGAAACGUCUCGAUGGAGGGGGAUAACUACUGGAAACGGUAGCUAAUACCGCAUAACGUCGCAAGACCAAAGAGGGGGACCUUCGGGCCUCUUGCCAUCGGAUGUGCCCAGAUGGGAUUAGCUAGUAGGUGGGGUAACGGCUCACCUAGGCGACGAUCCCUAGCUGGUCUGAGAGGAUGACCAGCCACACUGGAACUGAGACACGGUCCAG